rnacentral:rRNA from 1 species
AUGCGCAGCAGCAAUGCCAUGUUAGGCCGCCAAAAAACCUCGAAGACAAGGUUCGUCAGGCGUAUCAACAGCAUCCUGCAGCAGCUACAAUCAGCUAGCCUGAAUAAGUUUGUGGUCAAGUUCGCGCUUCGGAAAAGGCACACGGCUCACAUUGAUAGAUGGGUCAACUUUUCUGUCGCAUCAAGAACAAAACAUUUGGUUCUUGAUUUAUGUCCAGGAAUGAAAGUUAGUAGUAUCGACACAGAUGACAUGUACACCUUCCCACUCCAUCUUUUUGAUGCCAGUAGUGGUUCUUGUGUCAAGUCUCUUCGUCUAGGGUUCGUCUAUUUAAUGCCACUCCCUGAUCUCUGCGGAUUUGCGAACCUUAAGAAACUCUCUCUGCAUAUGGUGACCAUCACAGGGGAAUUCUCGUGCUUGGUCCCAGUAUGUGCUGUUCUUGAGUGGCUAAGCAUCACCAGAUGCAGAAUGGCUGGGCUAAGCAUAGCGCAGGAACUAAGCCAGCUGCAUUAUCUAUGCGUGCAGUUCUGUUUCCUGCUGAAGUUAGAAAUCCGGGCUCCAAACCUUGUCACCUUCAUGUUCAACGAUCAUGCUAUACCUAUCAUGCUUGGUGAACCUCUGAAAAUUUCAGAGGCGACGAUUGGUUUGUUUUCGUCCUCCGACUGUUUCAAUUAUGUCUUCACUGAUCUUGUCAAUGCUCUUUCACAUGUGCAGUCUCUCUCCAUAAACUUCAAAAUUAACACCGAGGUGCUGGGGUUUGUGAAAAAUCCUACCAGACUUACCAAUCUGAGACUUAUGAUCUUGAAGAUAGAUAUUUCUGGGUGGCCAGAAACUACUGGUGGAAUUCUUCGUUUGGCUUACAUUUUGAAGCUAGCCCCCUUUUUGGAAGAGUUGGUACUCCAUAUGUAUUAUCUUAACUUGGCAAUUCCUGUCUUGCAAACAAUUGAGGAUACCUCCCCGCCUCAUCCGCACAGUCAUCUGAAGACUAUCCGAAUGACCGGGUUUUACGGUUUGCAUGGUCAGCUUGAGCUAGCACUCUAUCUGCUUCGGAAUGCGACUUCUCUCAAGUGUAUGGUCAUAGAUCCUGUGGUGAGAAACAGCUCAUACAUUCCACCUCUGGUGGUAGCAGAGAAACAAAUAUAUCAAGGCAGGAUAACGGCCAGGACUAAACUUUGGAGGAACAACGAGUUCAGAGGCGUCCUUGAAAUUCUGUGA